rnacentral:rRNA from 1 species
UACGAAGGGGGCUAGCGUUGUUCGGAAUUACUGGGCGUAAAGCGCACGUAGGCGGAUGUUUAAGUCGGGGGUGAAAUCCCAGGGCUCAACCCUGGAACUGCCUUCGAUACUGGACGUCUCGAGUCCGAGAGAGGUGAGUGGAAUUCCGAGUGUAGAGGUGAAAUUCGUAGAUAUUCGCAAGAACACCAGUGGCGAAGGCGGCUCACUGGCCCGGUACUGACGCUGAGGCACGAAAGCGUGGGGAGCAAACAGG